CUUGGGAAGCAACCAAGAAUUGUCUUGAGACAAUAACAUUCCAGAAUUAGGUUUUGGGAGAGAGUGUCAAAAUCUCAUUCUAAUGGCUGAACAAUUUUAUCUGGGAAGAGAUGUGGCCAACUUUCUAGGGCUGACUUUGAUCCAGUAGAACAUGUCUUUUACAAGCAUUUACUUUACCAACUGGGAGCUCAGUACCCUCCCCUGUGAAAAACACCCAGGCAAGUCCAAGUCCCACAGAGUUGUUGCAACAGAGGGAAAAACAAGUGGGAUUCCAUUCAGCUUGGCUCCUAAAAAGAUCCUUAUUGGUGCUUGUGCCUGUACUACUAAGAGAGUUGUGGAAACCUUGGAAUGUGCCCAGAGUAGAGCAAUGGAAAUGAUUGGGAAAGAGGAUCUAUGAGAAAAGGCUCAAAGAAUUGAUAUGGGUGUAGAAAUAAAAUUGUGUGGAAUUACAGAUAAACUAUUUCAGGAGUAUGAAGUUAAACAAACAAGAGAAGAUGAAGGAGGAAAAGAAGAAGAUGGAGGAGGACAAAGUUUUCAGAAGUGCUUAUUAGAGCUAUUACAUGCCAAAUAUCUACUCUGUGGGAAAAGCAAAUUUCACAUUUUUAUCAACUCUGUAUUCACACAUCUGAUCAAGAGAUGUUAGAAGCCAGUUCUUGAGAAUGGCAGGACCACCUUGUGGACAUAACCUGGGUCGGUGAAUGACUGCACGGAGCAGAGUCCUACCUGUCAAGACGUCAGAUUAUGAUGUGAAUAAGCAAUAAACAUAUAUUUUGU
rnacentral:lncRNA from 10 species